UACGUAGGGGGCAAGCGUUGUCCGGAUUUAUUGGGCGUAAAGAGCGUGUAGGCGGCCAUACAGGUCAGCUGUGAAAACUCGAGGCUCAACCUCGAGACGUCGGUUGAAACCGUAUGGCUAGAGUCCGGAAGAGGAGAGUGGAAUUCCAGGUGUAGCGGUGAAAUGCGCAGAUAUCGGGAGGAACACCUGUGGCGAAAGCGGCUCACUGGACCACAACUGACGCUGAGGCGCGAAAGCUAGGGGAGCAAACAGG
rnacentral:rRNA from 1 species